UACGUAGGGUGCGAGCGUUGUCCGGAAUUAUUGGGCGUAAAGAGCUUGUAGGCGGUUUGUCGCGUCUGCCGUGAAAAUCCGGGGCUCAACCCCGGACUUGCGGUGGGUACGGGCAGACUAGAGUGUGGUAGGGGAGACUGGAAUUCCUGGUGUAGCGGUGAAAUGCGCAGAUAUCAGGAGGAACACCAAUGGCGAAGGCAGCUCGCUGGGACGGUACUGACGCUGAGGCGCGAAAGCCAGGGGAGCAAACGGG
rnacentral:rRNA from 1 species